GUUCUUGCGGUCCUGUCUGCUUUGAUCUUUGAGGUUGAGUUGUUUCACCAAAGAAAAGCUCUCCAUGUGCUGGUAUGUCAGCUGAAAUAAUGGCUGUUUUGACACCACCGGUGCAGAAACUUUAAUCUUGGCAUCAUUCAUGUGUCAUGAAAGAAAAAACUAUGGCAUUUUCCAAAAAUUAUAUUCAGACCCGCAUUAUUACAAACAUUGUGUGUGCUGAUGAAACAUAGGCCUUCAUUGUGUUAUCUGGAAAACAACACCACAAUGUAUCCAUCAGCGAUGUAACAGUAGCGUGCAAGUAAACGUGUGUGUCUCAGAUCAUCCGCGGCAUGACUUUGUUCCUUUUUAUUUGGUUAAAACAGCUUGAUAUGUCUUAGGGAUAAAGACAAGCAUCAUCAUGGGGCAUUCAGGCAAGAUGUGUGGACCACCAGGCGCAGAGAUCCUCAAAUACAGGAAUAAAGCGCCAGGAUGAUGGCAGCAGGGGGCAGCUGAAAGGGUUUGGGCUUGGCAGAGAUGCAGGAUUGGUUGACAGUCAGGCACUUGCUGGUGACAGAGCAGCGGAGCUUCUAUCUCUUUGAACUUUGUUUUGGAUUAACUUCUGUACCCGAGCUCCCUGAUAAGGCCCGAAAAAAGAAAAAAAGUCCAUCCUCAAGAAGCCAACAAGCGUGGAUCCUGUUGGUUUCAUUUAUUGAGUUUUCAGCAGCAUUGGAAUUUGUUCAGCAACAUUAUGUUAGGCCACUAUUGACUGGUGUUAUCUUUGCCAUGAUAUCACAAUAAUAUAGCUUUUUUCUUUCUCUUUGUAAAUACAUCUUUCAUCAUCGCAUCUUAUUUUUCUUCUUAAGUGCGCAUGUGGUUUUUUACAGAGACUUUAAUGUGUGUUAUGAGCUACAUUCAACAGAUAAAAACUACAAAGCGUAUGUAAAAAGAACUCUUUUGAUAGCCUGCCUGUGUGCAUUUGAUCUCAAGCCAUUUGAAUUUGUCAGCGUUAGUCGUUUCAGUGAAAUGUACAGGCCUGAGGGGUUGUACUCUGGCAGAAGGGAAAUCACACGAAAUUUUAUUUUGAUGUUGGUUUAUAAAAAAAAAAAACAAGACUAUGGUUCAUAUGUUUCAGCUUCUGUUGUGUAAAUAAUGCGCUCUUGACAAAAGGAG
rnacentral:lncRNA from 1 species